AGGUUUUGCUCAGCAGAGGUAUGGAAGGAAGAGUGUAGGAAGAGAAGAAAGAAAAGGAUUGAGUCUUAUGUCUAUAAUACCAAAAUCUUAACAAAGUGCAAAUCAAGAAAUGAGACAACAGGAUGUAGAAGUUUAAGCAUAUUAUUUCAGUGUGCAAAGCAUCUCCAUGUUAUUCAGCAUUGGAGCUCAACUACCGACUGUGUCAAUCAAAUAAGAGUAUCAGGUUCCUGUGCUAAAAAUAUUCCAGCUCAAAUCAUCUUGGCAGACAAUACCAGAAAAAACAAACAUUUUUCUGUCUAUUAAAGUGACCAAAUGUUAGGAGACUAAAUAUAAGCAGAAAAGACAAGUAAUAGCUGCAUAACCUUGAGCAAGAUACUGACUGAGCCUCAGCCUUUUCUUCAUUAAAAUGAUAUUUUUAAUGCAGGUCUAUAGUCUUUACUCUGCAAUUCCAAAACAGGACAAAAAACAAAACACUGUGAAACCCAAAGUGUUUUUGUAAGUUUGGCACCAGGAUUAUAUGCCAAAGAAAACCUACUGUGAACAAAUAUGAAGCCUCUAUUGUCUCAGCACUUGUAUCCGUAAGUCACACAUGCCUCUGCUAUUUGCUGAUAUUUUCUGACUUGGGGAUUAAUUCCAUGGAAAAUGUCGAAAAGGGCUAAAGAUAUAC
ensembl:lncRNA novel transcript